AUUGAACGCUGGCGGCAUGCCUUACACAUGCAAGUCGAACGGCAGCACGGGUGCUUGCACCUGGUGGCGAGUGGCGCACGGGGGAGAAUUACAUCGGGACAUGUCCUGUAGUAGGGGAUAGCCAGGUGAAAGCAGGAUUACUACCGCCUACGAACUACUGAUGAAAGCGGGGGACCUUCGGGAAUAGCGCUUUGCGGUUGGUCGCUGGCUGAUUCGCUAGUUGGUGGGGUAAAGGCCUACCAAGGCGACGGCCAGUAGCCGGUCUGAGAGGACGACCAGCCACACUGGAACUGAGACACGGCCCAGACUCCUACGGGAGGGAGCAGUGGGGAAUUUUGGACAAUGGGCGAAAGCCUGAUCCAGCAACGCCGCGUGUGUGAAGAAGGCCUUCGGGUUGUAAAGCACUUUUGUCCGGAAAGAAAUCCUGUGCACUAAUACGGUCGGGGGAUGACGGUACCGGAAGAAUAAGCACCGGCUAACUACGUG
rnacentral:rRNA from 1 species